CGGACGGGUGAGUAACGCGUGGGUAACCUGCCUCAUACAGGGGGAUAACAGUUGGAAAUGACUGCUAAUACCGCAUAAGCGCACGGGACUGCAUGGUCCAGUGUGAAAAACCGAGGUGGUAUGAGAUGGACCCGCGUCUGAUUAGCUGGUUGGCGGGGUAACGGCCCACCAAGGCGACGAUCAGUAGCCGACCUGAGAGGGUGGCCGGCCACAUUGGGACUGAGAUACGGCCCAGACUCCUACGGAAGGCAGCAG
rnacentral:rRNA from 1 species